UUGAUGUUGGUGUUGAGAGAUUCUGUUUGAUCUUUUUAUCUCUUCCUUGUCGUCGUUAUGGUAAGAUAAGUUUGAAUAAUUAUAGAAUAUUUUCAAACCGUACCAUAAACAUAUGUUAGUAAGUGAAAAACAAUUUUUAGUUUUGUUAUUAUGAUUAUUAUUUUUUGGUCGGAAACACACGAAUUAUUAUCAAAAUUUCAUUAUCCU
rnacentral:lncRNA from 1 species